rnacentral:rRNA from 1 species
GGAUUAGAUACCCUGGUAGUCCACGCUGUAAACGAUGAGUACUAGCUGUCGGGCCUGAAGGGGCUUGGUAGCGCAGCUAACGCAAUAAGUACUCCGCCUGGGGAGUACGGCCGCAAGGUUAAAACUCAAAUGAAUUGACGGGGGCCCGCACAAGCGGUGGAGCAUGUGGUUUAAUUCGAUGCAACGCGAAGAACCUUACCUACCCUUGACAUCCCUGGAAUCUGUCAGAGAUGAUGGAGUGCCUUCGGGAGCCAGGAGACAGGUGCUGCAUGGCUGUCGUCAGCUCGUGUUG